UCUGGAAUUUUUCCGAUCACCGAAGCUUUCGAUCGGUAUAUCUCGAGCUACAGACCAUAUUUUUCUGUGAUUUUUGAACCAGUGAGUUCUUCUUGAGUUUCUUAACAACUCUUCAGAAGGAAUCAAAGCCUUAAAUUGACGUUUUUACGUCGAAUUGGAGCUCGCCGUUUUCUGCAGUUUCUCGCCGGUUUCUGGAAAAUUCCGGCCACCUUCAUACUGUUCAAGGUGAUCGACGGUUUGAUUUGGCGGACGAUUCGUGAAAUUGUAUUUUGAGCUGUUAAGAAGACGUAGCGGGAAUUUAGAGCGGGUAAUCCUACAGGACAGGAGAACCAGGACGGUGAUCGUGCGGUUAGAGCAAUGGUUAUAGUUUUACAGCAAUUGUAAUAGUGAGGCGAGUUAAGCUCAUUUGAGCAUUACAAUUUGAUUUGGUGGGAGUGUGCUGUAAUAAAUAACUUGAGGAUUUGGGUUAUUGUAAAUUUGAGAGUUGUGAAGUGUGGUUGUUUGUGAGAAAAAAAUUCAGGAUGUUAGUUGUAAUUUGUUAUUAUUCAUGUUUCGGAUUUGAAUUGAUUAUUCAAAAUUCGGGGCGUGACAGU